rnacentral:rRNA from 1 species
GUCCGUUUGAGGCCGCGCGUUGGGCCCGCUAUUCAUCUGUUUUACCCCAAAUGGACGCACCCGGACAAAAUGGAGUCGCGCGGUGGAGUUGGCCUUAGAAGGAUCAGGCCGAUACCGGGUGAGCACUGCGCAGUGGUGUUGUUUCUGUGAGAAAGGGCAACCAAAGUCUAGUAAGCAUUGCGUGAACGCGAAGGAUGCCGAGACAGGCCAGUUCUUUUGGUAGCUUAAAAAAUAAGUCGCCUCCUCCGCAGCUUAUCCCAUAAGCCACCUCUCUUAUUAAUUGGGGCUUCUAAACUAGUUAUGGGAUAACUAAUUUAGAAGUCCCAACAAAUUUUAUGAGCGGCUUAUUUUUUAAGCUGGGGAGAGGCAGCUUAUUUUUUAAGCCGCCCAAAAAAACUGGCCUCCAUGACCAAGGUCUCUUUUUUAAACUCCUUUCUCUUCUUUAAACAUCAACUAUACAAAGCUUUGAAAAGAAUGAGAUGAGUAGACGAUGAGACGCCGUAGACGGACCUGGAAAGGAAAGGCUGAGAAGAAGCUAGCAGCGGCGCCGUCGCUGUGUUGGUACGUGUGCCGCGUUGCGUCUCGCGCUCGCUUCCACGCUGAUGACGCAUUAAUGGCAGCUGUGCAAAAGAUGAGGCGUGGGCGCAAGCAGUGGUGGCCACUGUGUGGCGCGGCAGCGUGACGGAGCCACCGCAACCGACGAUCGAGCUGUACGCAAUCCAGGGUAGUAGCGCCCAACGUAGAGAAGUGAAACUUGUGGCGUCCUGCUUUAUUGCACCCUUCGUUUUUCUCCUAUCUUUAUCUUUACCUAAUAAUAAAGAGAAUGGCCAGUACUCUGCGCCGGCGCACCGGCUUAAAUUUGGGCCGGUCGGCCCGCAGUUGUCCGAUAUGCCUGCUAACAACCGUUCGAUUAAAAGGCUAAUCUUCGUCCUCGUUAACCACUCGCCCGCAGAAAAAAAAGAAAAGUCAACCGACACCGCGCGACGCCCCGGCCUCGAAACACCACCCGCACGUUCUUCGGCCGUCGCUCCCCUCGACGUCGGUCGCCUUCGCUUCCCUCGUCGCUGGUCGCCGUCGUCGCUGUCGGUUGGGGUCGUCGGCUUCGCGCAUGUAGCAGCCUGCUUCCUAUGGUUGCAGCUCCUCAUGGCGACGGCCGCAGCUCCGAUGCGGCAGCUGCAGUCCAAUGGCAGCCGGCCAUCCUCGUCGCCGGUUACAGAAUCAAAAUGGAACAACCGCGUAGCAUACAACCAAAAAAAGUGGUGGUGGCAAAAAUCAGUGCCGAUUCCAGCAAAACAAACAUACUGUGGAAGCAAAAAAAAAUGGGACCCCGGCUCCGGCAAAAAACUCGCACGGGAGAUGGAACCAAGAAAAUACGAGCCGCCGGUUCCAGCAAAAACAUCAUAUGGUGAAAGCAAAAUCACACACUGGUUGUAGCAAAAAUCAAGAUGGUGGUAGCAAAGAAUGGGUUGUUUCCAGCAAAAUUCGAAGACGGUAGUAGCAAAAAAUGGGGUUGGUUGUAGCAAAAUACAAACUGGUUGCAGCACUACCGUCGGGCCAUGGUCACCACCAUCAGGCCGUGGUCACCACCGCCGUGGUAUGGCCCCACUGGUUGUAGCAAAUCCCGUUGCCGGUGGUAGCUUUCCCGGUGCCGGCUGCAGCAAAAUCGCAGCACCGACGUCGCCGCCACAAAUCACCGUCGCCUCCCUUGUAACAAAUCCGGCCAUCGGUUGUAGCAUGGCCGGUUACUGGUUGUAGCACGCCGUGCAGCCGCGGAGCUGCGAGUACGCCCUGACCGUGGCCGGAGAUGGACGAGAAGGGAAGUGGUGGACAACCAUCGUCAGUCUGCGUCCGUCAUCGCUGACUUGGUUCCCCACAGCAGUUCCUGGGGUGCGCGUGGGCCUGGGCAGCAGCAAUUUCAUGGGGCGGUGGCCAUGACCCGCGUGAGCCGGCCGGAGAUGCGAGACGGUGAGAUAGAGAUGUGGGGGAUUGGUGGCUGGGGUGCUCCAAGUGAGGAUAAGGAAGAAGAAUGAGCGGUUGGUGGGCCUUACUGGUUACGUGGCUUGUACUAGAGACAUGCGCGUAGCGCGCGAGCCAGCGCGACCGGCCGAAAGCUUCGGCCGGUCUGCCGGCACUAAACGUUUCCCAAAGAGAAUUGGGUUUCUGUUCGUACGUCAUGCUUUCUUGCAAAAAAGCCCUUGCAGUUUUCUGAAAUCAACCCGCAGUACUACAGGAAUCAAGUAAAAAAAACUCUCGUUGGUACGAUUCCUCGCUCCAGACCGAGGCCACCGCCGGCGCCCUGCCCGGCCUCGCCGCCCCCGCGCGCGCCUGCCGCCCCGCGUUCCAUUGGCCCACGCUCGCCCAACUCUGCUCGCGCCGCCGCCGGCCACGCCCUCGCCGGCCUCCAUGCCCGGCCUCGCCUGCGGUGUCGUGGCCUUGCAGGGCCUCGCCUGCGCCACUGCAGCCCUGCCCAGCCUGGCUCGGGUCCUUUCCCGGCCGCGCGCGCACCCGCCGCGCCGACCCGUGGUCGCAGGGCUACAAGGAGGUGCUCGCCGACACUUGGCGGGGGGCCUGGAGGAGCGGCGGAGCUCGGCAAGGUAGGCAGCGGGAGGAAGGUGGCGCAGCUCGGUGCGGUCUGGACAAGCUCGACGAGAGGAAGCAGAUGGGAGGCCGGAGGGAGAGAGAACGAAGCGGUGAGGUGCGGCGGUGGUCCUGCUACUGCUCGCUGGUGGCUCACCGGCCAUCGGCGCGAGGUGGGAUCGGGUGCGCAGAGGCGUCUGGGAUCGAGGGAGCUCUCCUCCCUCACGACUGGAGGCGCUUGGGGAUACGCGAAUGGGAGGGGAUCGAGCUCCCAGGUGGUGGCGACUGCACGAGUUGCUAAAAAAUAGGUAAGGUGGGGCUUGGUGGGGGAGGGAAGGAGGGGGCGGCUCAGCCAUGGCAGCAAGCUACCGGAGAGAUGGGGUCGGAGGAGCUGGCCAUGGAUAGGCCAGCGGCAGAGCGACGGGGCUCGACCAAAGCGAGCGCACCCAUCCCGUCAGAGGCCAAGAGCAGGGAAAGGAAGCAGCAGGCUCCCCUGCACCGCCCUACUACAACGCGGCCUCACCACCAUGCGUCGGCACACCUCCAGCUCAGCACGACACUGUCGAAGCUGCUGCUGCCUUCACCCAGGUCGUACACCUUGCGGCCGCGCACUCGAAGGCAGGAGAGGGAGCCGCCAUAGUAGGGAGGGGGGAGGUGUGGCGGAGGGGUAGGAAGAAGAGGGGAAGAAGGCUGUUGCUGCCUUCGCCCUGGCCGGACACCUCGCGGACGCGCACUCCUCGUGGAGUCGUGGUGGCGACUGAGGGAGCCGCCAUGGCACAAGGAGGAGGGAGGUGUGGCAGAGGGGUAGGAGAAAGAGGGGAAGAAGAGGAAGGGAGAGCAGGAGUGGUGGAGGAGCAAGGCAACGAAGGAGCGCCAUUAAUUCGAAGCAGAGAGAGAUGCGAGUCGGGUGGGUGGGUGAGAGAGAGAUCCAGAUGGAUGGGACGGAGGCAGCAGCGAGCUAGCGACGGGUUUGGUGGCAGCAACGAGCCAGCGACUGUGCUGACUCAUGGCUGUGCGUGUUGUAUGCGUGGCUGGCAUGCGGAGGCGCCGGAGGCAUUGUCCAGUCAAUGUGGUGUGUGACAUGUGUUGUGUGUGUGUUGUAUGUGGUGUGUGACGUCUAGAUUAUUAGCCGUCUGCGUGCGUGCCGUGCGUCUCCGGCGCGGCGUCCGUUCGGCAUAGGAAGACGGCAAAUCGCUGGCUGUAACUUUGAAUAUGAUCCAAAGAAAAGCAUAUAUCACAG